rnacentral:misc_RNA from 1 species
CAUACUCUCUACGAGUAAAUGAAUCGGAAGAUCACGACUUAAUGAGAUAGUUCUCGUAAUUGUUGUCAAUAGAUUGAUUGAUCGACCAUGUUCCAUGUUCACCCUCUCUAUACGGAUGUCAACAGGUUAAAUCAGAAUCUGGAACCACUUUUACAGGAAUUUGUAUUGUUUCUAAAGCUGUGUAUGCUAUCACUGUCAGUUCAUAUU